rnacentral:rRNA from 1 species
GAUCCUGGCUCAGGAUGAACGCUAGCUACAGGCUUAACACAUGCAAGUCGAGGGGCGAGCAUUUCAGUUUGCUUGCAAACUGGAGAUGGCGACCGGCGCACGGGUGAGUAACACGUAUCCAACCUGCCGAUAACUCGGGGAUAGCCUUUCGAAAGAAAGAUUAAUACCCGAUAGUAUAAUUAGACCGCAUGGUCUUAUUAUUAAAGAAUUUCGGUUAUCGAUGGGGAUGCGGUUCCAUUAGGCAGUUGG